rnacentral:rRNA from 1 species
GACGAACGCUGGCGGCGUGCUUAACACAUGCAAGUCGAACGGAAAGGCCCUGCUUUUGUGGGGUGCUCGAGUGGCGAACGGGUGAGUAACACGUGAGUAACCUGCCCUUGACUUUGGGAUAACUUCAGGAAACUGGGGCUAAUACCGGAUAGGAGCUCCUGCUGCACGGUGGGGGUUGGAAAGUUUCGGCGGUUGGGGAUGGACUCGCGGCUUAUCAGCUUGUUGGUGGGGUAGUGGCUCACCAAGGCUUUGACGGGUAGCCGGCCUGAGAGGGUGACCGGCCACAUUGGGACUGAGAUACGGCCCAGACUCCUACGGGAGGCAGCAGUGGGGAAUAUUGCACAAUGGGCGGAAGCCUGAUGCAGCAACGCCGCGUGCGGGAUGACGGCCUUCGGGUUGUAAACCGCUUUCGCCUGUGACGAAGCGUGAGUGACGGUAAUGGGUAAAGAAGCACCGGCUAACUACGUG